GUGAGGAAUAUUGGUCAAUGGACGGAAGUCUGAACCAGCCAUGCCGCGUGCAGGAAUAAGGUCCUAUGGAUUGUAAACUGCUUUUAUUCGGGAAUAAACCUCUUUACGUGUAGGGAGCUGAAGGUACCGAAGGAAUAAGCACCGGCUAACUCCGUGCCAGCAGCCGCGGUAAUACGGAGGGUGCAAGCGUUAUACGGAAUCAUUGGGUUUAAAGUGUCCGCAGGCGGGCUAUCAAGUCAGAGGUGAAAUACCACAGCUUAACUGUGGAACUGCCUUUGAAACUGAUGGUCUGGAAUUAAGUGGGCGUAGGCGGAAUAUGACAUGUAGAAGUGAAAUGCAUAGAUAUGUCAUGGAACACCGAAAGCGAAGGCAGCUAACGAUACUUAUAUUGACGCUCAUGGACGAAAGCGUGGGUAGCGAACAGGAUUAGAAACCCUAGUAGUCC
rnacentral:rRNA from 1 species